GAUGAACGCUAGCUACCGGUUUAACACAUGCAAGUCGAGGGGCAGCAUUUCAGUUUGCUUGCAAACUGGAGAUGGCGACCGGCGCACGGGUGAGUAACACGUAUCCAACCUGCCGAUAACUCGGGGAUAGCCUUUCGAAAGAAAGAUUAAUACCCGAUGGUAUAAUCAGACCGCAUGGUCUUGUUAUUAAAGAAUUUCGGUUAUCGAUGGGGAUGCGUUCCAUUAGGCAGUUGGUGAGGUAACGGCUCACCAAACCUUCGAUGGAUAGGGGUUCUGAGAGGAAGGUCCCCCACAUUGGAACUGAGACACGGUCCAAACUCCUACGGGAGGCAGCAGUGAGGAAUAUUGGUCAAUGGGCGCAGGCCUGAACCAGCCAAGUAGCGUGAAGGAUGACUGCCCUAUGGGUUGUAAACUUCUUUUAUAUGGGAAUAAAGUUUUCCACGUGUGGAAUUUUGUAUGUACCAUAUGAAUAAGGAUCGGCUAACUCCGUGCCAGCAGCCGCGGUAAUACGGAGGAUCCGAGCGUUAUCCGGAUUUAUUGGGUUUAAAGGGAGCGUAGGUGGACAGUUAAGUCAGUUGUGAAAGUUUGCGGCUCAACCGUAAAAUUGCAGUUGAUACUGGCUGUCUUGAGUACAGUAGAGGUGGGCGGAAUUCGUGGUGUAGCGGUGAAAUGCUUAGAUAUCACGAAGAACUCCGAUUGCGAAGGCAGCUCACUGGACUGCAACUGACACUGAUGCUCGAAAGUGUGNGUAUCANACAGG
rnacentral:rRNA from 1 species